UAAACGUAUUCUUUCACCUGACUCGUAUAUUGUAACAGGCGGGUAUGUUAUUAUUGCGCCAUUCAAUCACAUCUCGUUUUGAAUAUAAUAUCUACUUCUAUGUUGUAUAAUAACGCGUGUAUCUGUAAUAUAUUUUAUGAAUAGAGAAAAUUAAGACCGUUGCACCGCUAAGUAGGUAUAUAAUAUACAAUUAUAAUAAAUACUAUUUUUAAAACGUGAUUUAAAACAUCAUUUAGUAUAUCAAUGCUCGGGUAAAUGUUUAAUGAUCCUCGACGUGUAUUGAUUAUUAUUAUACGAGUAUAUUAUAUUAUUAGUGGUGGUUAUAUAUAGGUGAGUACGAAACCAUUUUUAGUUGU